GGUUCACAGAACAGGCAGCCCCUGCCAGGGAAUCCUGGGUGUGGCCGAUGCUCAACUUGGCUUGUUUAUGCCAAAUCUGGUCUUACCGCAGGGUCUUUUCUGCUCUAUGAAGCCCGGAAGGUGGAGAGGGGUGCAAAUGCUGAACUCUCCUAUGCUCAAAGCAACCCAGUGCAUUAUCUCUGUGGGAGUCACCCACACCCUGCUCUGGCGCCCUUAAAAUAAAGGCAACAGCACCGAAGGAAAGGAGGGGGUGAUGAAGGAGAGGGCAUGAGGCCAACUCGGUGGUGCAGGACGUAAGGAAGGCACACAGAAGAUGCCCGGUUUCUGAAGGAGGGACGCCCCGACACCUUGGGAGAAGCUGCCCCCUGCCGCCUUCCCUGCCAUGGACCUAUUUGCCCGCUUUGAGGAGUUCCUGGACAUCGUGGUGUGCUUGGGGUUCCUCUACUUCCUCUCAUACAGCUCCCUCUUCCUCUUCUACUUCUUCCUCCUCGUGCCUUUGGCCUUCAUCUUUGAGGGAGAGGAGACACUGAGAGCGGCAACCUCCUUCCUGCAAUCUCCAGCUCAAUAAAGGGUGAAUUUGAAUACA